rnacentral:tRNA from 1 species
AGCAGCAUAGCUCAGUGGAAAGAGACUGGAUUUGGGAGUCAGAGGUCAUGGGUUCUAAUCCCCUUUCUGCCG